rnacentral:rRNA from 1 species
AACGAACGCUGGCGGCGCGCCUAAUACAUGCAAGUCGAGCGAGAAGACGUAGCAAUACGUUUGUAAAGCGGCGAACGGGUGAGGAAUACAUGGGUAACCUACCCUCGAGUGGGGAAUAACUAGCCGAAAGGUUAGCUAAUACCGCGUACGCUCCUUGGACUUCGGUUCAGGGAGGAAAGCGAUACCGUGGGUAUCGCGCUCUUGGAUGGGCUCAUGUCCUAUCAGUUUGUGGUGAGGAACGGCUCACCAAGGCUUCGACGGGUAGCUGGUCUGAGAGGACGAUCAGCCACACUGGCACUGCGACACGGGCCAGACUCCUACGGGAGGCAGCAGUAAGGAAUAUUGCGCAAUGGGCAAAGCCUGACGCAGCGACGCCGCGUGGGGGA